UACGUAGGGAGCAAGCGUUGUCCGGAAUCAUUGGGCGUAAAGCGCGCGUAGGUGGCCCAGUAAGUCCGUUCUGAAAGUCACAGGCUCAACCUGUGAAAGCGGAUGGAUACUGCUGGGCUAGAGUCCGGAAGAGGCGAGUGGAACUCCUGGUGUAGCGGUGGAAUGCGCAGAUAUCAGGAGGAACACCAACGGCGAAGGCAGCUCGCUGGGACGGUACUGACACUGAGGCGCGAAAGCGUGGGGAGCGAACAGG
rnacentral:rRNA from 1 species